rnacentral:rRNA from 1 species
UACGGAGGGUGCGAGCGUUGUCCGGAAUCACUGGGCGUAAAGGGCGCGUAGGCGGCUCGGUAAGUAGGGGGUGAAAUCCUGCGGCUUAACCGCAGGGCUGCCUUCUAAACUGUCGAGCUUGAGCACGGUAGAGGCAGAUGGAAUUCCCGGUGUAGCGGUGGAAUGCGUAGAGAUCGGGAAGAACAUCAGUGGCGAAGGCGGUCUGCUGGGCCGUUGCUGACGCUGAGGCACGACAGCGUGGGGAGCAAACAGG